rnacentral:misc_RNA from 1 species
UCCGGUUUGGCACCGGCAGUCUCCCCAGAGUUCCCGGCUUUACCCGCUGGCAACUGAGGACAGGGGUUGCGCUCGUUGCGCCACUUAAGGCAACACCUCACGGCACGAGCUGACGACAGCCAUGCAGCACCUGUGCGGGCUCCCGAAGGAGGACCGGCUUUCACCGGCUUCACCCCGCAUGUCAAGCCCUGGUAAGGUUCUUCGCGUCGCGUCGAAUUGAGCCACAUGCUCCGCCGCUUGUGCGGGUCCCCGUCAAUUCCUUUGAGUUUUAACCUUGCGGCCGUACUCCCCAGGCGGGGAACUUACUCCGUUAGGUGCGGCACCGGCGGUAACCCGCCGACACUUAGUUCCCAUCGUUUAGGGCGUGGACUAC